rnacentral:rRNA from 1 species
UACGUAGGGUGCAAGCGUUGUCCGGAAUUAUUGGGCGUAAAGAGCUCGUAGGCGGCUUGUCGCGUCGGCUGUGAAAACCUGGGGCUCAACCCCGGGCCUGCAGCCGAUACGGGCAAGCUAGAAUUCGGUAGGGGAGACUGGAAUUCCUGGUGUGAGCGGUGGAAAUGCGCAGAUAUCAGGAGGAACACCGGUGGCGAAGGCGGGUCUCUGGGCCGAUAUUGACGCUGAGGAGCGAAAGCGUGGGGAGCGAACAGG